GCCUGGGUGGCUCAGUGGUUGAGCGUCUGCCUUUGGCUCAGGGUGUGAUCCUGGAGUCCUGGGAUCGAGUCCCACAUCAGGCU
rfam:Canis lupus familiaris chromosome 8, whole genome shotgun sequence.